GUGUACGUUGUUCGUAUUGGUUCGGACGCCUGAUUGUGAGUCAGGAGCAUGUGGGUUCAAUUCCCAUCGUACACCCCU
rnacentral:tRNA from 1 species